rnacentral:rRNA from 1 species
GACGAACGCUGGCGGCGUGCCUAAUACAUGCAAGUAGAACGCACAGUUUAUACCGUAGCUUGCUACACCAUAAACUGUGAGUUGCGAACGGGUGAGUAACGCGUAGGUAACCUGCCUGGUAGCGGGGGAUAACUAUUGGAAACGAUAGCUAAUACCGCAUAAUAUUGAUUAUUGCAUGAUAAUUGAUUGAAAGAUGCUAUUGCAUCACUACCAGAUGGACCUGCGUUGUAUUAGCUAGUAGGUGAGGUAACGGCUCACCUAGGCGACGAUACAUAGCCGACCUGAGAGGGUGAUCGGCCACACUGGGACUGAGACACGGCCCAGACUCCUACGGGAGGCAGCAGUGGGGAAUCUUCGGCAAUGGACGAAAGUCUGACCGAGCAACGCCGCGUGAGUGAAGAAGGGUUUCGGAUCGUAAAGCUCUGUUGUAAGAGAAGAACGGGUGUGAGAGUGGAAAGUUCACACUGUGACGGUAUCUUACCAGAAAGGGACGGCUAACUACGUG